GAAGUGGGCCAGACCGCCGCUGGCACACCGGCCGAAAGGCUGUGCUGGAGGAAGGUCCGGACUGCACAGGGCAGCGCAGCAGCUAACGGCUGUCCACCGCGAGGUGAGGAUCAGAGCAACAGAGACGAGUCGGGCCUGGGGGCGCAAGCCCCGAGGCCCGGGUGAAACGGGCAAUCUCUGCGCGCAGCAACACCAAAUAGGCCAGCAUUGAUGUGGCUCCGCGGAGCUGGCGGGUAGGUGGCAUCGAGCCGUUCCCGUGAGGGGCGGCCCAGAGGAAUGGCGGUCACGCCGGCAACGCCGCAAGGCGGUGCCGGUGCACAGAAUCCGGCCUAUCGGCCCGCUUCACAC
rnacentral:RNase_P_RNA from 1 species